rnacentral:rRNA from 1 species
GUGUCAGCAGCCGCGGUAAUACGUAGGGACCAAGCGUUGUUCGGAUUUACUGGGCGUAAAGGGCGCGUAGGCGGCGUGGUAAGUCAGCUGUGAAAUCUCCGAGCUUAACUCGGAACGGUCAGCUGAUACUGCUGUGCUAGAGUACAGAAAGGGCAAUCGGAAUUCUUGGUGUAGCGGUGAAAUGCGUAGAUAUCAAGAGGAACACCUGAGGCGAAGGCGGGUUGCUAGGCUGAUACUGACGCUGAGGCGCGAAAGCUAGGGUAGCAAACGGGAUUAGAUACCCCGGUAGUCC